UACGAGGGAUGCAAGCGUUAUCCGGAAUUAUUGGGCGUAAAGCGUUUGUAGGCGGGCGAGUGUGUUUAAUGUUAAAUCUUAAAGCUCAACUUUGAAAUUGCGUUAAAAACUGCUUGUCUUGAGUAUGGUAGGGGUAAAGGGAAUUCCCAGUGUAGCGGUGAAAUGCGUAGAUAUCGGGAAGAACACCAGUGGCGAAAGCGCGCAACUGGGCCAUUACUGACACUGAGGGACGAAAGCUAGGGGAGCGAAGGGG
rnacentral:rRNA from 1 species